rnacentral:lncRNA from 1 species
ACGAUCGUUUGUGGAGUAUAUCAGCUAGUACAACACUAUGGAAUAUAUAAACCAACAAAACACAUAAACAAGAAAACGACAACCAAAACAAUCAAAAAUUUUAAAAUAAUCUCCAGUCUAAUUUAUUACAAACCAAAAAUAAAAAUGCUAAAAUAGAACCUAAACUAUUCCAAUUGCCUUAGCUAUGUUUUACCCGAUGCCUCUGGCCUUGAUCACGAGUCUCCUUUGCAUACAAGAUACUUCGGAGCAUUCUCCAGUAGCUGAAUACAAUUUCAAUUCCGUGCGAUAAAGUAGAAAUCAUUCAACAAACAUCCAAAUAUUCAACAAUCCACAAUUCUCAAUUUUUGCCUACCCAACCUACCGUUUGCCUACCCAUUUUGACUUAUUAUGAUACUAUCAUGUUCAACAAAAUUAAUGAAUCAAAAUUAAUCUGUAUUCACUUUUAUCAAGGUCAAUUUUCACCCCAAACAACCAAGUUUAAUUCUCAAAUGAAACAUUAUUUUAUCACAUAAUUCAUAACCAAGGGAAUCAAUAAUGAAUCAAUACCAAGAAACUAUUCACCACCUACAUGGAUUAACCAACACACAAUAUUCAAUUCAAUGCACUGAAUAUCAUCAAAUAAUGAAAUAAAAUGAGGAAAAGAGUAGAAUUGAACCUCAAUUUGAAGCUUUCGAACUCAAAUAUUAUUUGAAUAAAUAGAUGAAAUUCACAUUCUGAAGCCGCGAGUCAAACCUGGAUAUCAACCAAAAAACUCCCAACUCGAACAAAUAACAAUAACCACAACCCACCUCGUAGCGACGUCAAGUGGCGUAUACACUAUUGCGAUUGGUUUUGGUUGUUGUUUUGGUAUUUUUCAAUGGAUUUCAUCGGAGCAGUAACGUCUUGGGCUGGUACACCUUUUGUCCGGUGGGUAUUCACUGAAUCAAAGCGGGAUUUGUUGUUUCUAUUUUACCGGAGCUUCGUCGAGCUCAGGCGGUGGUGGAAAUCGGAGAAUGGGUUAAAUUUUUGGUGGCAGUGAUGUUUCCCGAUGAGAAUUCGCCAGAAAUUGCUUCUCCGCCAUUCCUCUUCUCUUUUAACCUCUCUCUCGAUCUCUCAUUCUCAAUUUUAUCCCCCCUCUCUCAAUCUCUCACUAUCAAUCUUCUCUCUAUUUUCUCCCCUCUCUUGAUCUCUCCCACUUAAUUUUCUUUAUCUUUCACCAUUUUCUCUUCAUUCCAGUGUGUGUGUGCACAUAUAUUAGUGUGUCUAUGUGAGUAUUCUCUCCAGCUCCCAAUUAUUAUUGUGUGUGUAUAUACUGUUCUCUUGUGGUGAAUGAGGGGAAAAUGGAGUCAUUGCGUGUCUGUGUGUGAAUUCGGUGGAAAGAUCUAUGUAUUUGUGUAUUAUUAAUUGUAAGGGGUGUGGAUGUGAGCAUGAUUGGGUUUGCAGAGAGUUGUUGUAAGUGUCAGGUAUUGGGUGGGAUUAAGGGGUAGGGUAGGAAGUAGGGUGGGGAAUAGGGUAGGGAAAAAUAAAUAGGUAAAUAUUAUUAUUUUGGGAGAGAUAAUGUAAUACCCCAAAAAAUUCAAACUAAUGCUAGAGACAUGCUUCAAGAUAAUGAUUAGUCUAUUAUAGUUCCUUGAUAGUUUUAUGAGUUAGUUUCUUGAUAGUUUUAUGAGUUAGUUUAAUGUAUGUUAAGGUCUCAAAUAACUCCCAGCUAUUAGGUGAAUUAGAAUAUUCCAUAUCGAUUGAAAUUUUGUUAAGAAUGUUGCUCCAAUCAAAUUCAAAAUAGCAUAUCUUUUUAUCUACUUAGAUUUUUCUAGCUCAAGACCCAUCAAAUGGUAGGAAAUUGAAUUAGCUUUCUAAAGAUACCAAUUUUACCUAAAUCCGAUACUCGGCUGAGAAGUUAUGUCACUUUUAGUGUAGAAUAGUAGCCCAGUACAAUAAGACCGCGUCGCGGUGAUGGAUAUUUUCACAUUCGUCCUUUUUCAGUGUGUCACCACAAUAGGCACCGCAUCAUGCCAAGAGGCAUUUUUCGUAUUUGUCAUUUUUCAGUGAGGCACCGCGAUAAGCACCUCGUCGCGCCAAGGGGUAUUUUUGCAUUUGUCAUUUUCCAGUGAGGCAUCGCCGAUUUGCACCUCGUCGCACCAAAAUGUCAGUUCAAAAUUGUCCUUUCCAAUGGUGCAAUGUGAUAGCACCGCAUCGCGCUGUUGGGGAAAAUGGAGAUUUUCAGCUUUCCUGUGGCCCGCCGCGAUUGCACUGUAUCGCGCCGGAGCCAAAAAUUGAGAUUUUUCCAGUUUCACGAUUUAAUAUCCAGGGACUGUUUGUUCUUUUUUUAUAGCCCCAAAUCCAUCCAAACAUGGAAUUUAAGUCCCAAUAGAGCAUUCUUUGCUUAUUAUUUCACAAUCACCUCAAAUUUAAAGUAUUCCUCUUUCAAGAACAAAACCCUAGCCUUCAAAAUUCAAGAUCAAAUCUCAAGAGUUCACCAUUAACUCCCACAAAUUCAUCAAUGCACGUAUAUUAAGUGUUUAUCUAUGGGUUGUUUCACCCAUGGAGUCCAAGUAUCCAAUUUUAAAUUCAAAAUUUGUGAUCUUUACAAGUUAUUAUGAUUUUAAUUGUGAUUUCCAACCAUGAACUCCCAUGAAUUGUACUUCUAUACCAUGAUUACAUGAAAUUGUUGUUGAUUAUCAAACCCCACAUGUUUUAAUGUUAUUAUUCAUUGAUUUAAUUCAUAAUUGGUGAUGUUGGUGUUGAAAUCAUGCUAUUACUACAAGUUUUAAACUAUUCUCAUGCUUAGUUUGAACUAUGAAUAUCAAGUGUUUGAUGAAAUGACUACAAGAAUGAAUUUUUGAAUAAAUGCUUUCAUAUUAUGUCCCCAAGGUUUUAGUACUAUUUUGAUAUUAUUGGUAUCGAGUCUUGGGGGCUAUGAAUACCCAAAAACUUAGUUGUUUACUUAGUCUCAAUAUCUUCAGAAUAGUCUCAGAAUAUGUUAUGAGCAUUACCAGUUUAGUCAGUCAUCAUAAUUUGUUAAACUCAUAAUAGUUUAGUAUUCUGAGUCAGUUUAGUUGGGAGUAAAAUUUAGCAGCGAUCGAACCUAGGGAUGAGGGCUCACCUGCUAAUUGAGAGUGUGACCUUUAUCAGCAGUCCUUGCAUUCCAGAACUACGUAGCCAGCGUAGGUUGAGAUGUUAACCUGCCAAUUGAGGGUUGAUCUCACACGGGUAACUGCCAAAUGAGGGUUCUUUAGUCCUUUGGGACAACACUUUAGUGGAUCCACACAGCUAGUGUUAGUACCCAUGGCACGGUACUGACACCCUUCCAACUGGGGUCACAGGUUGGACCCCAAAUGUACUCAUUGGGGCAUGUCGAUUUAAUGAUAUCUCCCAUAAUCUCAGUCCAGUAAUCAGUUCAGUAAUUUAGUUUCAGUUUUCCUGACCAUAGAAUACAAAUAUCAGUUAUUCGAUUAUCAGACUAGUAUUUUAGUUUACAGAUUAUAUGCAGAACAUGUUUUAUGCUUGAUCAUGCAUCCUCAGUAUUUACAGUUUUCAUGUAUUUUAUUCAGUACUUCAUGCUAUUCACUCAGUCAAUUAGUACCCAUUCACAUAAACUAUGCAUAUCAGCCUACCUUAUUUAGCAUACCAGUACAUUCAAAGUACUGAUUGCAUACUCUUUUCUUUCGCUAUGAUGUAUCAUAUCAUUAGUUCUGACGCUCAGUUCUCGGAUCGUACAUAGACCUUCCAGAUUAUCAACCAUAGCAGUGGUGAGUCCUCAUAUUUUGAGGAUAGACUAUAUUUAUUUUCAUGCUUUCAGUUCAGGCCUCAUCGGUUAGUAACACCUUGAAGGGUUUUCGGGCCAACAAGCCUCUCUCAUUUUUCUUUCUCAUGUGUCUGUAAAGGUUUUCACUAAUGAGACUCUCUUAUUUUUAUUUCUCUCAAUCUUGGUUCCUGUGAGGAUUUUCGUCAAUGAGACUCUUUCAUUUUCAUUUCUCUCAUCUCACCAUCAUCUUGUGGUGUUCAUGAGAAUUUUCACCAAUAACACUCCAUGAGCCUUUCUCAUUUUCAUUUCUCUUAACUUACAAUCGUAUUACGGUGUCUGUGAGGCUUUUCACCAAUAAAAAUCUCUCAUUUUAUCUCUCUCAACUUAUGAUCGCCUUACGGUGCCCGUGAGGGUUUUCACCAAUAAGAUUCUCUUAUUUUAAUUCUCUCCUGAUUCCUUAUGACGAGGAAGGCAAGUAGUUCCCAAAAUGCAUCAUUAUAAAAUGCAUCAUCAUAAAAUACAUCAUCAUAUGCAUUGCAUACUUGGCCUUAUCAUUCUCAAAGAUUGAUCUGAAGGUCUCUCUUUGAUUGUAACUUAGUAGUUGGAUAGAGUUAGAAAGAAAGGAUGGCAUAAGGUCCAAACUACACUUGAAGUGGGGUGGGACUUAUAACUUUUUGAAUCGACUCAAACAACAAAAAUUAACUCAUGCCCUAGUUUUUUUUUAUUGGAUAAUUCUGAAUUGUUUAUUUGGUUGGACAGAGCCAGAGUAGGAAAGCAUACGUAUCUUACCCCCGAGAGAGGAGAAUCAGGUCACUCGUAGUUCGGACAACUUAUUCUUUUGCUUAAUUGUGAUUUCUCUCUUUUUUAUCAUUGACUCUUUUCUCUUGGGAACUUUUUCUGAUUCUAUUUUUCUUCACAUUCUUCUUUUUCUUUCUUUUUGGACAUGUUUUUUUUUUUUGAAAUUUUUCUGACUCUAUUUUUUCGCUCGACACUUUUCUUUUGAGCUUUGCUGACACUAUCUUGAUUCAAAAAAAGGGGUAAGAAAGAAAAUAACAAUAAAGCUCACAUGGGGUAAGCAAAUGAUGACACAAUGUUUGGAUAUCAGAAUGGAAUUCUUUCAUCAUAUCAAUCCUUGAAAAUGUAAGUGGAUAUCAUGCAACAUGAAGUAAAAGAUGAAGAUCAUUCGUGACACUUUAACAACACUAACUUUAACUGAGCAUGUGUGCCACUUCUUCUUCUACACUUGUCAAAUAUACAACUCCACCUUUGUUGUACAUCCCUCACAUCGAAUGACCCAUGUUUUUGUAGAACCGAUUAUCUUCUUGUUUCUCUUGAUAUUACGUGUCCACUAUUUGACCUAUUUGAGAUAUGUUUUUCAAUUGAUGGCCAUGUUAAUCUUGUGAGUCUCAAAAUAAUUGCCUUAAUUUUAAAGAAGGCUUCAAUUUGAUCACCAAAUGCCUCAACACUCUGCCUAUUUUCUCAGAUGCUCUUUUUUUCUAACUUUAGCCCGCUAAUUCAAAGUUUCAUGAUUAAAACUGAAUUUUAAGAUCUGGCUAAAAAUUUCGCAAGCAUGUCCUAACACUAGAAUUCAACAUAAAAUGUAUUGUGUAAAGAAGACAAACAAACAAAUUAAAAUAAGACAAAACAAUCAAGGGUCACCACAUUUUAUUGAAAGGAAAGAUAGAAGGGUUUAAACAAAGGCGACAGAGAAACAAAACAAGAUAGAUUCUGAACUACAACCCUAAAAUAAUUUGGAAAACAGAAAGAAAAACAAAACAAACUACCAACAAUCCUUCUAAGUAAGGAGAGGAGUGACUUCUCAAUUGCUGAGCUUGACAUCUUAGCCACUGAUUUUCAUAUCAUCAUGACUAAAGCUUUCACCGCUAUCUGACACAUUCCGUGUAAAAUUAUCCUUUGACUUUCUCCUUUUUGGCAAACUCUGGCCUCGAUUGAAACUUGGACUUAGAAGUUCCUUGGUAAAUAUGUGGGGGUCGAGGACGAUGUUGAGGGACCUAUGCAUGCCCUUGUGGAUAAAACAAUGGAUGAGUAUAUGGUUGGGCGCUAUGUACUAGAUAUGGAGGUGGUGGAUUAGAAAAUAAUGGGUUUUAGGAGUGAUUAUAUAGAUCUUGGUUAUGGACUUGGGCUUGAUACUGAGGGUAACAACGACUUGGCCUUCUUGGACGUACCUAUUGUCCAACUAUAAUAGCAGCUACAUCUUCCCCAUUUUUCUUCCCUCCAACAUUUCCUGAACCUUUUUGAAUUGCUUGCGUAGUUGCUUUCAAUGUUUUGAAACUCAUAAUGCGAUCGAUUUAAAUUCUAUCCUCUAUCAAAUCCCCCAUUUUGAGGACCUCAAUAAAUGACUUACCUAAUGCAGGUAACGAGUGUUGAUAAUAUGUUUCAUCCUGCGCUUGAAUAAACACCUCCACCAUCUUGCUUUCUUUCAUUAGCGAUUUCAUCCUAGCAACUUGUUCACGCCAUCUAAUCACAUAUUCCCUGAAACUUUCAGUACUAUUGUUCUUUAUAUUAGUUAGGGAUUUCUCAUUAGGAAUCAAUUCACAUCAUAUUGGAAUUGUUGCAUGAAUUCAUUAGCUAGGUCAUCCCAACUAUUCUACUUAUCGAUGUCUUGGUCAACAAAUAAUUUUGAAGCUAGACUUCAAAAAUUCUCACCGAAAUAAGCCACGAGUAAUUCUUUCUUCCCUACAGCGCCCCUUAGAUGGUUACAAUAAUGCCUCAAAUGUGCCAUUGGGUCACCGUGUCCAUUGUAUUUCUCAAACUUUGGAGUUUUAAAACCAAGAGGGAGAUUAACAUUUGGAAACAUGCAUAGAUAUUUAUACGAUACACUCUUAUAAGCCUCGAGUCCCAGCAAAUAUCUUAUGGUAUGUUCCAAACUUUCCACCUUGUUGGUCAUUUCAUUUUGUUUUCUAUCAUAAUCGACUUUUCGGUGUUAAGAGAAAGUUCAAGCGGUUGAGUGUCGCCAUGAGGACUAGUCAACUUAGAUGUGGGCUCAAGAGCAUAAUACUAAUCAGUAGAAAUAUUCAAUAUAGGCUCUCUUGUAGAGUGGGGAGGUACAACCAAUGGAUGCACAUCAAAAGUAGGAGCUUUAGGUGGAGGUGGAGCCACAAAAAGAGAAAUUUCAGGUGGAGCCGAGUAUGUGAUAGUUUUGUAUUGAGGAACUUGGAGAGGAAUAUUGGAAGUGUUAGGAUAGCGUUGCCCCAAAGUAAAUCCUGAUGCAUGUUGAUGCGUAUUAACAAAAAUAGGGCAUUGUGCAUGUGACACUAGAGGCAAGCUAGAAAGAUAUUUCAGAUUAUCAGCGAAAAAUGAAGGAGGCGACAACCCAUUAGCCCAAGCUCGAUGCAUUUCGAUCAUUUGCUGUCUUAAUUUUUGGAUCUCUUCAUUAACUUCUAAAUUCUCAUUCCCCAAACUCCUUAUCUAAUUAGUGAAAACAACCUCGGAAUCCUUGUUGGCUAUAACUUUCUCUUCGACUUGGUGCAAUAUGGAGGACCAACCAAAAUGCCACAAACCAACCACCUGAAACUAACUGAACAAGAGAUAACAAAUGCUUUAGGGUUUAACAUUUCCUAAAAAUCUUUCUCUCCCUUUUUUUCUUUUGAAACGAUCAGUGAGCCCUAGAAGAGCGCCUACGUAUCUUACCCUCGAGAGAGGAGAAUCGGGUGCGUAGUUCAUGAACUUUGGUUACAAAAUGACCCAUCAACUCUCUUUAUUUUUAUUUUUCUUGAAACUUUAAGAAGAAAAGAAAAUAACAAAUUGUCAAGAGAAUUGCAAAAAUCUAUUUGGGUUUUUUGGCUUUAAAAUCCCUAUUCAAAAUGAAACCUAUGAUCACCAAAGAAAAAUCUUUUUGGGUUUUUGAUAUUGAAUUUCAUAUGAAAAUUAAACUUGAAACUAUUAAAGGAAAAUCUUUUUGUAGUUUUCUUUUAAAUAUGUGUAUAACACCUAUUCUAAAUGAAGAGUGAAGAAAUCUUUUUGAAUUUUUAAAAUAUGAUCACCGAAUCCUAGAAGGACUGCUUACGUAUCUCACUCCCGAGAGAGGAGAAUCAGGUGUGCGUAGUUUGUCCUGAUUGGACAAUCAAAGAUUGAACAACCGACUGAACCUUGACCUAAGAGACACGACCACAUAGAGACAAUAAAAUGCCAAUAAAAUCUUUUUGAGUUUUCACUUUGACACUUAACAUAAAAUAACGUCAACAACUAGGAAAGACAAAUCUUUUUGGUAUAUUCGUUAUACGAAAUGUACAAAACUUCUACUAUUUUUGAAUUUUUCUUUUAUAAAAAGCUCCUAUGAGGGAAAAAUCUUUUUGAAAAUUUUGAAUUAUGAAUGCUUACUAGAGAAAUAAAAGGAAAAUCUUUUUGAUAUUUUUAUUUUUGACAAAUGAAUUCACAUGGUAAAAAAUCUUUUUGAAUUUUUUUGGAUUGUGAAAAACAAAAGCCACAAAGAACUCUAAAAAGAAAAAUUACGAAACUCUUUUUUUUGACUCACUUUUCUUUCUUUCUUUUUUUCAACCUUUUCUUGCCUACACACUUUACUUCUAACACAUGUUUUCCCCAAAUCACUCCGUCAAAUAACCCCGUUACUCUCAAAGAUGCAACAAUUAACACGUAGGGAUGCUUUAGGGGUGAUUCUCUUACAAAGGACCAAAUGGAUCCCGCUAGCUCUCAACAUGAUAUAGAUAAGCAUGACUUAAAGGCUGACCUAGACUAGGGUCCACUAACAAGGCUGUUCGGGGGUGCAUACGGUUGAUAGUGGCUGCAAUUUUUUUCCAUCUAUUCCAUACAUCCAAUAGCUCCCCCUCCUAAAAUGAGGGUGACUCAACAUGACGUGUACUCCAAGACUUGCUGCGAAAGAAUGACUCAGAGUAAUGCACAUGAUGCCAGAUAUAAAGCGGUAACAUAUAAGAGAAAACUAUAAAUACGUAGCAAGUAGGCAUUCAACAAUGAUUAAAAAAAACACAAAUGAUAACACAAACAAGGCGUCUAUACACCCAUAGUGUCACACUAAGCCGAUACACCUCAAGAAUGGAGCUCGAAUUCUGAAAAAUCUCCAGCAAAGUCGCCAGAGCUGUCAUACCCCAUUUCACCAAAAAGAUUGAUUUUAAGUUCAAAAAGGGUUUGAUUAUUAAGUAACAAAAGAAAUCAAUUUGUUUCGAAAAGGACUUUCAACAAUCAAAAAUCAGAGUCGCCACUUGACAUAAAUCUGGUGUGCCAAGUCACCUUUGAAAAUCCUCUUUCAAAAUGAUUUUUGACUCUUUCAAUACUGAUCCAUGAACAGAGAUUUUGACUAAGAAAUUCUGUUGAUAGAGGGGAAGGUGUUAGGCACCCCUCAUUCCUGUGGUUCGACCACGGUCGCUUCAUAGAGUAUAUCGGCUAGUACUAUACUAUGGAAUAUAUAAACCAGCAAAAUACAUAAACAGUAAAACGAAAAACCAAAACAAUCAAAAAUCGAAAAAUAAUGUCUAGUUCAAUUUAUUACAAACCAAAAAUAAAAAUAUUGAAAUAGAAACCUUCUGGUUGCCCUAGCUAUGCUUUACCCAAUGCCUCGGACCUUGAUUACGAGCCUUUUUUACGUACAUGAUAUUUCAGGGCAUUCCUCAGUAAAUGAAUACAAUUUCAGUUCCGUGCGAUAAAGUAGAAACCACUCAACAAACAUCCAAAUAUUCAACAAUCCACAAUUCCUAAUUUUUGCCUACUCAUUUCGACUUAUCAUGAUACUAUCACAUUCAACGACAUCAAUAAAUCAAAAUUAAUUUGUAUUUACUUUUAUCAAGGUCAAUUUUCACCCCAAACAAUCGAUUUUAAUUCUCGAACGAGACAUUUUAUCACAUAAUUCAUAACCAAGGGAUUUAACAAGGGAAAAUUUCAGAAAUAACAACUAUAGAGUAUUAAUUGUAACUUUUAUAGCAACAAUUUCAUAAUUACAAAAAAUAGCAAAUUGUAUUUUGUAUUUAAGUAAACUGUUGCUAUACAAAUACAUAUACAACAAGAUUUACUGCCCUUGUUUUACUCAAAUUAGUCGAGUUAAAUAAGGAAUAAUUAUCCCAUCUAAUUAAAUUCCCAUAAAGUACUCUUGUUUAAAUUAGUAGAUUCCUUUUCCAAAUCAAAUUCAAAUAUGAAGAUUAUUAUUUUCUGAUCUUCAAAAUUUCAAAAUAUCAUUCUUUUAUAUUUCUAACUAUUUUUUCUUGUUAGUUUUUUCAUUUUUUAAUCUUUUUUUAUUUUAAUUUUUUUUCUUUCCACUUUAUUUUCUCUCUUCUAUUUUUUUUCCUUUUUGAUUUAUUUAUUUAUUUAUUUCUUUUUUCAUUUUCUUUGUUUUCUUCUUCUUCUUCUUCUUUUUUUCAAUUUUUUUUCUCUUUUAUUUUUACACUUCUAUUUUUAAUUUGUAUUUCUUUUUUUUUUUCUUUGUCACUUCUUUUUUUUUUUUUUCAAAUUUUUAUUUUUCGUUUUUGUUUUUUUCUAACUUUUUUUUUUUACUCUUCUAUCUCUAUCUUUUAUUUUUAAAAGACAAAUAUUUAUAUCAUAUAUACAUAUUCAAAAAAUAUAUAAAAUAAAUAGACAUAUAGAUCUGCAUAUGUAUUUACGGUAAAAAACAUACAUAUAUAUCUACAUAUGUAUUUACAAAAAUAUAUAUCUGACUCAUAUGUAUAUAUAAACAUAUAGGACACAAAAUCUUUAUAACAAAAAUGACAAUUAUAUACAUAUACAUAUAUGUAAUAAAAAAAUACAUGCUACAUGCCUUAAACAGUAAAAGAAAAUAAAUAAGUACAUAUGUUACCGUCUAAAAUGACAUAGUAUGUACAGUUCAAAGACAAAUUCAACAGCAUAUAAAAUACAUAUAGCUCUACAUAUAUAUAUUUACAGAAUACAUAUCUGAUCUAUAUGUAUAUUCUUAUUUUAUAUGAGUCACCUUUGUAUUUCGCAAGUACAUAUGAAGAUAUAUAGUAUAGUUAUGUUUGUUACUGUUUAAUAUGAAUACGAUUUGUAUUUCGUAAAUACAUAUGUAUGUUUUGUACUGUAAAUACAUAUUCAGAUAUUUAUGACUAUGUAUUUUGUAUAUUUUUUGAAUAUGUGUAUGUGAUAUACAUAUUUAUCUUUUCAAAAUAAAAGUUAGAGAUAGAAGAAUAAAAAAACAGAAAAAAAUAAAAAUAUAAAAAGAAAAAUGAAAAAAGAGAAGUGAAAAAGAAAAAAAAAAGAGGAAGAAAGAGAAAUAGAAGUGUAAAAAUAAAAGAAAAAAAGAAACAAAUAAAAUAGAAAAAAAGAAGAAGAAAAUGAAAAUAGAAAAAGAAAAAAAAAUAUGAGAAAGGAAAAAAAAAGAAAAAAGGGAAAAAAAGAGAAAUAGAAAAGAGAAAAUAAAGUGGAAAAGAAAAAAAAAUCAAAAUGAAAAAAUAAAAUGAUAAAAAAAUAAGAUGAAAAAAAACUAACAAGGAAAAAAAGAUAAGUAUAUAAGAGAGUGAAAGACAAAAUGUUGUUUUAUUUUAAAAUCUUGAAGAUCGUGGAGAUAAUUAUCUUUAAAUAAAAAAAAUAAAAAAAAAAAAUGAAAAAUAAAAAAUAACCAAAAAGAAAAAAAAAGAAGAGAAAUAGAAGAGAGAAAAAAUAAAGUGAAAAUAAAAUAAAGUGAAAUGAUAAUAAAAAUAAGAUGAAAAAAGAGGUAAAAGAUAUGACUAUAUUUGAGGGGGUGAAAUAGUUGAGUAAAAAUAGAAAAAUGUAAAGUAGUUAGAGUAAAACGUGCACUUGUUAAUAAGUAAAAUAAUAUUACUCUUGCUACAAACUGUAAUUUUACAAAAAUAUUACUAUUUAUUGUAAUUAUAAUCUUAAGUAUGUUACUUUCUGUAAUUUUUUCAUUUAAUAAUGAACCAAUACCAAGCGACUAUUCACCACCAACAUGGAUCAAUCAACACACAAUAUUCGAUCCAAUGCACCGAAUAUCAUCAAAUAAUGAAAUAAAAAACAGAGGAAAAGAGUAGAAUUGGAACUCAAUUUGAAGCUUUCAAAUUCAAAUAUUAUUUGAAUAAAAAGAUAAAACUCACAUUCCGAAGCCGCAAGUUGAAAUUAAACCUCAACCAACAAACCGGCUACUCGAACAAAUACCAAUAACCACAGCUCAACCCAUAACGCUGUCAAGUGGCACAUACACUGUUGCGAAUGCUUUUGGUCUCUGUUUUGGUGGGUUUCGAUGGAUUUUGCCGGAGCAGCAGCGUCUUGGGCCGCUAGACCUUUUGUCUGGUGGGUCUUUUCUGAAUCGGAGCUAGAUUUGUUAUUUCUAUUUUACCGGAGCUCCAUCGAGCUCAGGCGGUGGUGGGAAUCGAAGAGUGGGUCAAAUUUCCGGUGGCAGUGAUGUUUCCCGGUGAGAAUUCGCCAGAAAUUGCUUCUCUAUCGUUCCUCUCCUCUUUUCCCCUCUCUCUCGAUACCUCACUCUCAACUUUCUCCCCUCUCUCGAUCUCUCUCACUUAAUUUUCUUUCUCUUUCACCAUUUUUCUCUUCAUUUCAGUGUUUGUGCGUGCAUAUAUUAGUGUGUGUAUGUGAGUAUUCUCUCCAGCUCCCAAUUAUUGUUGUGUGUAUAUACUGUUCUCUUGUGGUGAAUAAGGGAAAAAAUAGAGUAUUUGCGUGUCUGUGUGUGAAUUCGGUGGAACGAUCUGUGUGUUUAUGUAUUAUUAAUUGUGAGGUGUGUGGAUGUGAAUGUGUUUAUACUUCUUUGAUGUAGCCAGAUGCUGCAACAAUAAAAUAAAAAAAAAUUAUUUAAAUUUGAUCCAUAUAAAAAUAGGAAUAUAUUAAAAUUCUAUCAUGCAAAAAUAGAAAAAUUUUAAAGUUCCAACGAAGAGAGAAAAUUAUUAGCCUUUGGGUCUAUUAUUAUUAUUAUUUUUUUUUUAAAAUAAACUUAAAGGCAC